rnacentral:rRNA from 1 species
CCCUUAGAUGUUCUGGGCCGCGCGCGCGCUACACUGAUGCAUUCAACGAGCCUAUCCUUGACCGACAGGUCCGGGUAAUCUUUGAAUCUGCAUCGUGACGGGGAUAGAUUAUUGCAAUUAUUAAUCUUCAACGAGGAAUGCCUAGUAGGCGCAAGUCAUCAGCUUGCGUCGAUUACGUCCCUGCCCUUUGUACACACCGCCCGUCGCUCCUACCGAUUGGGUGUGCUGGUGAAAUGUUCGGAUCGGCCGUUUGUCGCGGUUUCCGCGGCUCGUGGCUGAGAAGUUCAUUAAACCCUCCCACCUAGAGGAAGGAGAAGUCGUAACA